rnacentral:misc_RNA from 1 species
AAUUCUCAACCAUGUCUGGAUUCACUUCUAGGCAUGGCUUGGAGUUUGGGAGUUGCUGGCGUCAAGUCAGCUCUUCUGAAAUAUAUUAGCGACGGACGAGCAUGGUCCUGACGUGCACGGCCUUCCGACGUGAUAAUGAUCGUCGUGGCUGGAGCGGGUUCGGGACGGGUUGCAUCUUCAUGGUCCAUUUCGCUUCCAACUCCCCCCAUAAUCUGAAC